rnacentral:rRNA from 1 species
GAUGAACGCUGGCGGCGUGCCUAAUACAUGCAAGUCGAGCGAACAGACGAGGAGCUUGCUCCUCUGACGUUAGCGGCGGACGGGUGAGUAACACGUGGAUAACCUACCUAUAAGACUGGGAUAACUUCGGGAAACCGGAGCUAAUACCGGAUAAUAUAUUGAACCGCAUGGUUCAAUAGUGAAAGACGGUUUUGCUGUCACUUAUAGAUGGAUCCGCGCCGCAUUAGCUAGUUGGUAAGGUAACGGCUUACCAAGGCAACGAUGCGUAGCCGACGUGAGAGGGUGAUCGGCCACACUGGAGCUGAGACACGGUCCAAACUCCUACGGGAGGCAGCAGUAGGGAAUCUUCCGCAAUGGGCGAAAGCCUGACGGAGCAACGCCGCGUGAGUGAUGAAGGUCUUCGGAUCGUAAAACUCUGUUAUUAGGGAAGAACAAAUGUGUAAGUAACUAUGCACGUCUUGACGGUACCUAAUCAGAAAGCCACGGCUAACUACGUGCCAGCAGCCGCGGUAA